UACGUAGGUGGCAAGCGUUGUCCGGAAUUACUGGGUGUAAAGCGCGUGUAGGCGGCAGACCAAGUCGGCGGUGAAAGCGCCCGGCUCAACUGGGCGAGGUCCGUGGAAACUGGUCAGCUGGAGGACGGUAGAGGCGAGUGGAAUUCCCGGUGUAGUGGUGAAAUGCGUAGAGAUCGGGAGGAACACCGGUGGCGAAGGCGGCCACCUGGACGGUAACUGACGCUGAGACGCGAAAGCGUGGGGAGCAAACAGG
rnacentral:rRNA from 1 species